rnacentral:rRNA from 1 species
UACGUAGGGAGCGAGCGUUGUCCGGAAUGACUGGGUGUAAAGGGAGCGUAGGCGGGAUGGCAAGUCAGAUGUGAAACCUGAGGGCUCAACCUUCAGACUGCAUUUGAAACUGCUGUUCUUGAGUGAAGUAGAGGUAAGCGGAAUUCCUGGUGUAGCGGUGAAAUGCGUAGAGAUCAGGAGGAACAUCGGUGGCGAAGGCGGCUUACUGGGCUUUUACUGACGCUGAGGCUCGAAAGCGUGGGGAGCAAACAGGAUUAGAUACCCCGGCGGCUGACUGACU